AUUGAACGCUGGCGGCAGGCCUAACACAUGCAAGUCGAGCGGAUGAAGGGAGCUUGCUCCUGGAUUCAGCGGCGGACGGGUGAGUAAUGCCUAGGAAUCUGCCUGGUAGUGGGGGAUAACGUCCGGAAACGGGCGCUAAUACCGCAUACGUCCUGAGGGAGCAAGUGGGGGAUCUUCGGACCUCACGCUCUCAGAUGAGCCUAGGUCGGUUUAGCUAGUUGGUGGGGUAAAGGCCUACCAAGGCGACGAUCCGUAACUGGUCUGAGAGGAUGGUCAGCCACCCUGGAACGGGAACAGGGUCCAGGCGCCUACGGGAGGCAGCAGUGGGGAAUAUUGGACAAUGGGCGAAAGCCUGAUCCAGCCAGGCCGCGUGUGUGAAGAAGGUCUUCGGAUUGUAAAGCACUUUAAGUUGGGAGGAAGGGCAGUAAGUUAAUACCUUGCUGUUUUGACGUUACCAACAGAUUAAGCACCGGCUAACUUCGUG
rnacentral:rRNA from 1 species